rnacentral:rRNA from 1 species
CUGCUGCCUCCCGUAGGAGUUUGGACCGUGUCUCAGUUCCAAUGUGGGGGACCUUCCUCUCAGAACCCCUGCGCAUCGUCGGCUUGGUGGGCCGUUGCCCCACCAACUACCUAAUGCGCCGCAUGCCCAUCCGUGACCGGGGUCGCCCCCUUUGGCCGGCAGGGGAUGUCCCCUCCCGGCAUUAUGUUGUAUUAGGCGGGAUUUCUCCCGGUUAUCCAUCUGUCACGGCCAGGUUGCAUACGUGUUACUCACCCGUGCGCCGGUCGCCGG